CCUAGAUGGUGUUGCAUCCUUCUCUGUGUAUCACAAAUGCAGGCACACGAUAUCCAUCUGUCUCUCAGAGUUGAGGUUAAUUUUGAUCACUGUCUCAAGGUUCUGGAUUUCUCUGAUAGAUUUAGUAUUCAUUGAUGAUUCUUGCCUGAUGCAAUCUUUAUUCUAAUAUGAUGAUUUCAACUCCAGGAUCCUGCAUUUACCAGCUGGCAUUCUGCUUUCUACUAUAUGCAACAGCUUUCCUUUCCCCUGUUCAUUUAUAUUGAUUUAAACCCGUCAUCUCUCUUCAGACUCUCCAAAGGAAUCUAAGGAUUUACAGCUUUUCCUGUAUGAAGGAUUGGAGGAUUUUCUGACCUAAAUUCUUGGUCUAUUGGAGAUUACUUUGACAAUUUCUUAAAUUUGGGAUUCGUGUGUCUAAAAACCCACAAGGCUUCAAGGUGCUGACAAAUUCUCAGGAGCCUCUUAACUGUGGGGUGACCAAGUGCUUUGCUAACCGAGCAAGCAACCGUACAAGUCUCUCACAUCCGAAUCCCAUCCUGGAAAUACAGCAGAGGAUGAGACAAAAUUGGGACAUCAGCUAUUCAUACACCAAGUAGGUUACAUUGAUGGAAUCAAGAAAAGCAUUU